CCUUUCUCUGUAUUGUUCUAAGGUUGCAGGCAAGCCUAGGCGUGCCUUGCUGAGAGCUGAGAGGGAAUGCUUAAUUCUGUGGGAGUACAUAAAUUUCCAAGUAAAUCUUUGGCGUAAGAGAGCGCUCAUUCAAAUGACAACUAAAACUCCAAAAUCAUGAAAAAAAGACCUGAACUGCAAAAUAAUGCAAAGGGAGCCUAAACACGGAGACAGGGGAAAGAAAUGGCCAAAGCAAUCGGCAGCACCUUGCUCUACUCCUGUGUCUUGGGUUUUCAGGAGUGCCUCAGAGUUAAAGCCCUACCUGUUCUAAACAGAGGUUUCCUGUUCUCAGGAAGUUAACAAUUACAAGCAGAGGGCAGACGAAAUGGGCUGGGAACUGAGCACAGCACUGAUAAGGUGACACUGCUGCUCCCUGAGGAGGAAAGUGUAGCUGCUGAACUUGGGAAGCACCCAAAGGCUGGCACUCAACAUGGAGUGGCUGCUCCCAACGUGGGGGACAUUUUCUGGAUCUGGUACACAGGUGUUUGCUCAUGGAGGAACACUGGGGAAAUCUAGGUUUGAUGUUUCCUGGUUGCAGUAGCAUUUCAGCAGAAGAUCUGGAGGAGACCUGGCCAUACAUCUUCAUCAGAUAUAGCUUUUGUCACUGAUGUGUUCCAUGGUCUGGGCUUUGGCAAGUAGAAAACUGAGGCUGCAGUGGGCAACACUUAUUUUGGAAAAGGGUACAGGCAGAUCCAUAGGGGCUACUGCAGAGGCUUUGAAAACUUUCCAUUCCCAGUAAAGAGCCUGCAUCUGAGCACAUGGGGCUAUUAGGAAUAUGUUUAGACUCAUCCCUAAGCAACGUGUCGAAACCACCUCCCCAGGAAAUACUGGUACAGCACUGAUCUCCUCCGACAGGAGCUACAUCCCCUUCUCUGGAGCAGAAGGACUAGCAACUACCUGCUGCUAAAAAACAGGUGGGAGGGGAAAAA